CCUACGGGAGGCAGCAGUGAGGAAUAUUGGUCAAUGGACGGGAGUCUGAACCAGCCAAGCCGCGUGAGGGAUGACGGCACUGUGGAUUGUAAACUUCUUUUGUAAGGGAAUAAAACGGGGGACGUGUGCCUGUUUGCGUGUACCUUAUGAAUAAGCAUCGGCUAACUCCGUGCCAGCAGCCGCGGUAAUACGGAGGAUGCGAGCGUUAUCCGGAUUUAUUGGGUUUAAAGGGAGCGUAGAUGGGGUGGUAAGUCAGUUGUGAAAGUCUGCGGCUCAACCGUAGUAGUGCAUUUGAUACUGGCAGUCUUGAGUUCAGGAGAGGUAGGCGGAAUUCGUGGUGUAGCGGUGAAAUGCGUAGAUAUCACGAAGAACCCCGAUGGCGAAGGCAGCAUGCUAGACUGUGACUGACGUUGAGGCUCGAAAGCGUGGGUAUCAAACAGGAUUAGAUACCCGAGUAGUC
rnacentral:rRNA from 1 species